UACGGGGGGGGCAAGCGUUGUUCGGAAUUACUGGGCGUAAAGGGCUCGUAGGUGGCCAACUAAGUCAGACGUGAAAUCCCUCGGCUUAACCGGGGAACUGCGUCUGAUACUGGAUGGCUAGAGUUUGGGAGAGGGAUGUGGAAUUCCGAGUGUAGCAGUGAAAUGUGUAGAUAUUCGGAAGAACACCAGUGGCGAAGGCAGCAACUUGGCCCCAGAUUGACGCUCAGGCACGAAAGCAUGGGGAUCAAACAGG
rnacentral:rRNA from 1 species